rnacentral:rRNA from 1 species
AUUGAACGCUGGCGGCAUGCUUUACACAUGCAAGUCGAACGCGAAAGCGGGGGCAGCUCCGCAAGUAGAGUGGCGAACGGGUGAGUAACACAUCGGAACGUACCCAGUCGUGGGGGAUAACCAGUCGAAAGGAUUGGCUAAUACCGCAUUACGCUGGAGACAGGAAAGCGGGGGACCUCGCAAGGGGACCUCGUCGCGAUUGGAGCGGCCGAUGUCUGAUUAGC